rnacentral:rRNA from 1 species
UGGGGAAUUUUGGACAAUGGGCGAAAGCCUGAUCCAGCAAUGCCGCGUGUGUGAAGAAGGCCUUCGGGUUGUAAAGCACUUUUGUCCGGAAAGAAAUCCUUGGCUCUAAUACAGUCGGGGGAUGACGGUACCGGAAGAAUAAGCACCGGCUAACUACGUGCCAGCAGCCGCGGUAAUACGUAGGGUGCAAGCGUUAAUCGGAAUUACUGGGCGUAAGCGUGCGCAGGCGGUUUGCUAAGACCGAUGUGAAAUCCCGGGCUCAACCUGGGAACUGCAUUGGUGACUGGCAGGCUAGAGUAUGGCAGAGGGGGGUAGAAUUCCACGUGUAGCAGUGAAAUGCGUAGAGAUGUGGAGGAAUACCGAUGGCGAAGGCAGCCCCCUGGGCCAAUACUGACGCUCAUGCACGAAAGCGUGGGGAGCAAACAGGAUUAGAUACCCUGGUAGUCCACGCCCUAAACGAUGUCAACUAGUUGUUGGGGAUUCAUUCCUUAGUAACGUAGCUAACGCGUGAAGUUGACCGCCUGGGGAGUACGGUCGCAAGAUUAAAACUUAAAGGAAUUGAC